CCCAGAGGUACACCACUCCUUCAGUCUGCCAGUGUGCCUCCUGCCUGCCUUGGAGGUAGCCUUACUCCCUGGGACGCGUCCAAGAAACUGAAAGCAAUAGGCAGAUUUGGAUUUCAGCUCCUCACCUGACGGAUGACCCCAGCCUGCUCUGCUAUGAGAUGGAGCACACCAGUGAUUACUGUAAAAGGCUGUUGUGAAGGUUCCAGGAAGUAUUCCUGAAGUUCCUGGCCACUGGCUCACAUGUACAAGAUACUGAAGCCGCUCAGAGCUGAGGAGGCAACAACACAGAACCCACGUUCCAGGUGCUAUGUUCUGGGAGUACAGGCAUGAGUCCCCGCACUCACCCCUUCUUCUAUUAAUAUCCCCCGGUGGCGGGCUCUGAUGGCAUCAGCUUGUGUGUGGAAGCUUCCUGCUGUAAUGUAAUCAGCAAAUGGAAGCCGUGUCCCUUUAAACCCUUGCCGUCACUUCUGCAUGUGGCAAAAUCAGGGUGGAAACCUGGCCCAUUCCAUUCCUUGUGCUGAGAGUGAAAAUGACCCUGCAUGUCAAUCAGAAACCAUGUAACAAACCUGCACUUUCUGCACAUGUAUCCCAGAACUUAAAGUAAAAUUUAAAAAAAGAAAAAAG
rnacentral:lncRNA from 1 species